rnacentral:lncRNA from 1 species
GAGAGCACCGUGUCCCGCCUCGGCCUGCGAACGGAGGAGUGCACGGAGUUUAGCGUCGAGACACCGCUGGGAACCAGUACUUACACCGGCAACUUGGUGGCCCCGAAGCUCGAGUUCGAGAUCGAUGGCGGGUACAUGGGCCGGAUGGACUUUGCCGUGAUGAAGUUCUCCCGCCACGACUUUGUCCUCGGCCACUCUUUCUUCGGGAACAACUUCCAGAUGUUCGCCACCGAGCUGAGGGUCGAGUCGGAUGGCUAUGUGUACAGCUUCACGCUCCACUCGGAUCCUCCCUGCUCGGUCAUAUGAUUGGAAAGCUCUUCCUCUCGAGGACAAAUUAGCGUGAUCACAAUUAAACAUCUUUCCUAAGUACAAGGAAAGAGACACUAACUUUCCUUUUUCUCUUUGGAGUUCCCGAGAUAAAAGAAAAGCAAACCAAGACAAACCAAAGACUAUAGAAUGAAAAUUCACAAGAAAAGCUUGCUUGUGUGAUUCUAUGCAGCGAACGUGGAAUUAUAUACACAAAUGGCUGUCGAGUAGCCUUGCAGGAGGAAUCAAUGCGAGAGCACCGAGGUGGUCUCUCCAGAGCCAUACGGGUCACCCCCCUGGCUAAGCCUGAUGACGUUCUUAACUAGAAAAUGGAGGGAUUGGAGCAAACAUACCCAGCACGCGACCUGGUGGAAAAAGCUGAGAAGCGCCCUCCUCGAUCCCUCGUCCCUCCACCACCACCACGAUCCAUCGUCGCUCCAGCUCUCACCCCACCAAUCGGACGAUCCGCCACCGCCGCUGCCGUUGUCGCCGGCCCCAUUUCCAUUUCCCCCGUUGCCAUCGGAGAAAUCCUCCUCGGAGCCCGAAGAAUACGAUCUGCGCCUGCCGCGGCCGCGAAUCGUCCUGGCACGCUUCCUCACCCGCGAGC